rnacentral:rRNA from 1 species
GACGAACGCUGGCGGCGUGCUUAACACAUGCAAGUCGAGCGGUAAGGCCCUUUCGGGGGUACACGAGCGGCGAACGGGUGAGUAACACGUGGGUGACCUGCCCUCAGCUCUGGGAUAAGCCUGGGAAACCGGGGUCUAAUACCGGAUAUGACUCCAUGACGCAUGUUGUGGGGUGGAAAGCCUUGUGCGGCUGAGGAUGGGCCCGCGGCCUAUCAGCUUGUUGGUGGGGUGAUGGCCUACCAAGGCGACGACGGGUAGCCGGCCUGAGAGGGCGACCGGCCACACUGGGACUGAGACACGGCCCAGACUCCUACGGGAGGCAGCAGUGGGGAAUCUUGCGCAAUGGGCGAAAGCCUGACGCAGCGACGCCGCGUGAGGGAUGAC